GAUGAACGCUGGCGGCGUGCUUAACACAUGCAAGUCGAACGAAGCACUUUAGUUGAUUUCCUUCGGGCCUGAGGAGUUUGGGACUGAGUGACGUACGUGUGAGUAACGCGUCGGUAGCCUGCCUUGUACAGGGUGAUAACAGUACGAAACAGCUGCUAAUACCGCAUAAGCGCACGUCAUCGCAUGAGGCAGUGGGAAAAGCACCGGUGGUAUAAGAUGGACCCGCGUUGGAUGAGCUCGUGGGUGAGGUAACGGCCCACCAAGGCGACGAGCCAUAGCCGGCGUGUGAGCGUCACCAGCGGCAUUGAGACAGGGCCAAGACCCCAACUCCUGCCGGAGGCAGCAGUGGGGACUAUUGGACAGUGGGCGAAAGGCUGAUGCGGCGCGGCCGGGAGAGCGGAGAAGUAUUUCGGUAUGUAAAGCUCUAUCAGCAGGGAAGAUAAUGCGGGUACCUGAAUAAGAGGCCCCGGCUACUUCCUU
rnacentral:rRNA from 1 species